UAAUACGGAAGGGGCAAGCGUUGUUCGGAAUCAUUGGGCGUAAAGGGCGCGUAGGUGGUUCUGUAUGUCUAUCGUGAAAGCGUACGGCUCAACCGUAUUUUGUCGGUAGAAACUGCAGGACUUGAGGCUGGGAGGGGCUGGUGGAAUUCCCUGUGUAGCGGUGAAAUGCGUAGAGAUGGGGGAGAACACUCGUGGCGAAGGCGGCCAGCUAGACCAGUUCUGACACUGAGGCGCGACAGCGUGGGGAGCAAACAGGAUUAGAUACCCUGGUAGU
rnacentral:rRNA from 1 species